rnacentral:rRNA from 1 species
CACGUAGGGCGCAAGCGUUGUCCGGAAUUAUUGGGCGUAAAGAGCUCGUAGGCGGUCUGUUACGUCUGCUGUGAAAACCCGGGGCUUAACCCUGGGCUUGCAGUGGAUACGGGUAGACUAGAGGCAGGUAGGGGAGAAUGGAAUUCCCGGUGUAGCGGUGAAAUGCGCAGAUAUCAGGAAGAACACCAAUGGCGAAGGCAGCUCUCUGGGACGGUACUGACGCUGAGACGCGAAAGCGUGGGGAGCGAACAGG